rnacentral:misc_RNA from 1 species
AGAGAGAGAGAGGGAGGGAGGGAGGGAGAGCACCUACCACAGUUUGUAGUUAAUCACCGGAGGUUGUGAGAGUUUACAUAGAGCUAUUGUGGUGGGUAUUUAUGAUCUUUGCCUCACAGAGCCAUUACAUGAAGAUUCACCAUCUGGGUCUUGAAAAUGGAACCUUCACAGAAACCCCAUGUUGUUGUUGAUGAUGAUGGUGACGUAGGGAAAAGCAGUCAUCAUCACCAGUCAGAUGAUAAAGAGCAAAGAAGCUCUUCAAGUGAGUCUGGCGCUAGCAGUGAAAUUGUGAAGGAGAGCAGAUCUUCUGUGUCAGAGGUGGAUCUGGAGCGUUGGGUGUCCGAUAUUAAGGUACAUUUGGUAAAGGUUGAAAGAGACUGCAGGAUUUGUCAUCUUGGCUUGGAUGCUGGGAAUCAGGAUUCUGGUUUGCCUAUUGAGUUGGGUUGUUCGUGCAAGGAUGAUUUGGCUGCUGCUCACAAGCAGUGCGCAGAAGCCUGGUUCAGGAUUAAGGGAAACAAAACCUGUGAGAUUUGUGGAUCGGUUGCACGAAAUGUAGCUGGUCCAAAUGAGGUUGAGUUGGUUGAGCAGUGGAAUGAGGUGAAUGAAACUGCAGUAGCAUCAGCAGCUCCUUCUGUGCACACAAGGGAGACCCGGAACUUCUGGCAGGGCCAUCGAUUCCUGAAUUUCUUGCUAGCAUGUAUGGUUUUUGCCUUUGUCAUCUCUUGGCUCUUUCACUUCAAUNNNNAUAAUCCUGUGAUGAGUAUUGUAAAGAUUUGAUGAUUGAAGAGAUGACAAUCGCCAUAGCUCCUAGCUUAUGCAGGUACCGACUCUGUGCCACGUGCAGCUUAAUUUGUCCAUAAAAGGUUAUUGAUUCUCCUAUCCAUGUGAUGUUUAUAUUAGUAUUAGAUAUGGAAAAAACUGUUCUGUAUAAUCUGUGCUAUGUUGAUGUUGAUUGGGUAAAUCCAAUCAAC